CCCUACGGGGUGCACCAGGCCAUCCGAGAGGUGUUCAAUAAGGGCAAAGCGUUGCGGCCCAUAGCCUUCCCUGAGAAGAGCAACGAUAUACCAGACCAGCCGGUGUUCACGUUGGCUGUGCUCUCUCCUGAACACAGCCUGAGAGAGCCUUCAACCAUGGCUCUGCUAGAAGAGAUGACUCGUGAGCAUGGCAGCUCGGCUCGAUUCUAUAAGAGCGCAUUAGUCUGGGCUAUAUCAGACGGAUCGGCCACGCUCAAGUCGAAAGCCAGGGACCUUCUGGCCUGGGAGAAUAUCCUCGAAGAGGAGAGCAGGCUGCAGCUGGAUGAGGCUCAAAAGAGUCAAGUGGGAGACAACAUCAGGACAGCCAGCAGGGAGCUGCACGAGGCUGUAUGGUGGAGCUACAAGAGC
rnacentral:rRNA from 1 species